GUCUCUCCUUCCUGGUCCUGCGGGGCACGGACUGUACGUGGGGCUGAGGGAGGUGGCCGUGCCCAACGCCAACCCAGGUGCCCCCGCCUGGCCCCAUGGCCCUGGUCACAGUGAGUCGCUCGCCUCCCGCCAGCGGUCACUCUACGCCCGUGGGGCCCACGCAGGACCGGGCAUCCAAACGGAGAAGCCGGCUGCAGCGACGGCAGAGCUUUGCAGUGCUCCGGGGGGCUGUCCUGGGACUGCAGGACGCAGGGGAUGAUGGAGAUGCAGCCGAGACCAGCCCUGAGCCCUCGGAGGAGCCCCCAGGCGUGGAGCAAGCCCAUGGGGACCAGACGGAUGACGGGCACGGGGCCCAGAGUCCCCAGAAGCAGGAGCAGAGGCAGCACCUGCACCUCAUGGUGGAGCUGCUGAGGCCACAGGACAACAUCCGCCUGGCGGUCCAGCUGGAGGCAGCCCGGCCGCCCCGGCUCCGCUACCUGCUGGUAGUGUCCACAAGAGAAGAGCUGAGCCAGGAGGAGACAGUCCUCCUGGGGGUAGACUUCCCUGACAGCAGCUCCCUCAGCUGCACCCUGGGCCUGGUCUUGCCCCUCUGGAGUGACACCCAGGUGUAUCUGGAUGGGGACGGGGGCUUCAGUGUGACGUCUGGCGGACAGAGCCGGAUCUUCAAGCCCAUCUCCAUCCAAACCAUGUGGGCCACGCUCCAAGUAUUGCACCAGGCAUGUGAGGCAGCUCUAGGCAGCGGCCUGGUGCCAGGGGGCAUUGCCCUCACCUGGGCUGCCCACUACCAGGAGAGAGUGAGCUCUGACCAGAGCUGCCUCAACGAGUGGAUGGCCAUGACUGACCUGGAGUCUCUGCGGCCUCCCAGCACCGAGCCUGGCCGGUCUUUGGAGCAGGAGCAGAUGGAGCAGGCGAUCCGGGCAGAGCUGUGGGAGGUGUUGGACACCAGUGACCUGGAGAGUAUCACUUCCAAGGAGAUCCGCCAGGCCCUGGAGCUGCGCCUGGGCCGCCCGCUGCAGCAGUACCGCGACUUCAUUGACAACCAGAUGCUGCUGCUCAUGGCUCAGCAAGACCGGGCCUCCCGCAUCUUCCCCCACCUCUACCUGGGCUCCGAGUGGAAUGCAGCCAACCUGGAGGAGCUGCAGAGGAACAGGGUCAGCCACAUCCUAAACAUGGCUCGGGAGAUCGACAACUUCUACCCUGAGCGCUUCACCUACCACAAUGUACGCGUCUGGGACGAGGAGUCGGCCCAGCUGCUGCCCCACUGGAAGGAGACCCACCGCUUCAUUGAGGCCGCCAGAGCCCAGGGUACCCGGGUGCUAGUCCACUGCAAGAUGGGCGUCAGCCGCUCAGCUGCUACGGUGAUGGCCUACGCCAUGAAGCAGUACGGCUGGGGCCUGGAGCAGGCCCUACGGCAUGUACAGGAGCUCCGGCCCAUCGCCCGCCCCAACCCCGGCUUCCUGCGCCAGCUGCAAACCUACCAGGGCAUCCUGACUGCCAGCCGGCAGAGCCAGGUCUGGGAGCAGAAAGUGGGUGGGGUCUCCUCAGAGGAGCCCCUGGCCCCAGAAGUCUCUACGCUGUUCCCAGCUCUUCCGCAAGAACCUGGGGGCAGUGGGGAGGUAAAGGCUAUAGGGCUGGAGGAGAACCAGGCAGCCCCAAAAGAAGAGCUUGGGCCCCGGGCCCGUAUCAACCUCCGCGGGGUCAUGAGGUCCAUCAGUCUUCUGGAGCCUCCCUCGGAGCUGGAAAGCACCUCAGGGUCUGGUGACCUGUCAGAGGAUCAUACCCUCUGCCCUAUGACACACUACACGGGUUGUGUGUAUGGAGGGAGAGGGGGCUGUACUGCUCCAAGCCGACUCAGAGGUACAAGCUGGCAUCAAACCUCCUCACUGGUCGAGGCCACAUACACAGUUUUAAGAAUGAUUCUCUCAUCGACCCUGGUGUGCCUCCAGCAUUAACCCUGAAGUCCUGGGGGACAGAAGACUUGGCUUCUAGUCCUGGCUUUACCAGUAAUUCACCUUGAGUCUCUUUCUGUAAAACAAAGGGAUUAGACCAGGAAAUCCCUACUGCCCCUCCAACUUUGAUAUUUUUUAACAAUGCAUGUCACCUACAAGGAGCCCUGGUGGAGCAGUGGUUAAAGUGCCCAGCGUCAACUCAAUGGCAGUACGUUUGUGUCACCAACGCCUGCUAGAAUUCAGCCUCUGCGUGCUCCCUAGAACAGGAAUCAUUUGCACCUGUCUGUGGGCAGCAUAGGAGCUCUGGUGGCGCAGUGGUUUAGUACUCAGCUGCUAACCACAAGAGAAAGAUGUGGCAGUCUGCUUCUGUAAAGAUUACAGCCUUGGAAACUCUAUGAGGCAGUUCUACGCUGCCCUAUAGGGUCCUACAAGUUGGAAUCAACUAGAAGUCAAGGGGCUUAUGGGCAGCAUGCCUAGAGUCACUAGGUGGGCCCAGAGAAGCUAGUUCUGAUUUUUUAUCCACUUGGCCGGCCCACCCUGCUGGAUAAACACUGGGGACUGCUUGCUACCCUACAGCCAGCUGGGACUCUUGCUCAGCCUGCCAUUUUAGGAGUCCUCGGCUGGGGCUGGGACUGCUGGAGGUGGGGGUGUCAAGAGAGAAGCCAAGGCCAGGUCCUGCCCUCCUGCAGACUGUAUAGCUCAGAAGGCAGGGUCCAAUCUGCCAAGGAGAAUCCACAGAGGACUUGGAGAAGAAUUCAGUACCCUGGGAAACGAGCACUCCAGGGGAAACUACUCGCACCAAAAAUGCAGGCAAACAACACGAAAAAUGUAAUCAAUGUCACUGACUUGUACAUGUGGACACUGCUGGGCUGGAGGAUGUUUUGGUAUGUGUUUUCACCAUAAUAGAAAACAAGUAAUAAAAAAGGGCAAGCAAAUGACUAAGAACUCUACAUGUAUACAAAGCUCACAAACUGCUAAAGGGACAAAAAAAAAAAAAGAGUAUAAAAUGCAAAGUAAGCUUCCCUUCCCAUUCUCCACUCCUUCACUUCCACCCCUCACAGGCAGCAACUAUUACCAGCUUCUUUUCAGUCCCUCCAAAGACGCUCUGGGGCACUGGUGGCGCAGUGGUUAAGAGCGGCGACUGGGAACCAAAAGGUCAGCAGUUCAAAUCCAUCAGUGGUUCCUUGGGAACCUUAUGGGGCAGUUCUACUCCAUCCUAUGGGGUCGCUAUGAGUCAGAAUCGACUUGAGGGCAACAGGUUUGGGCUUUUUUUUGUUUGUUUCAAAACACUCCAUACUUAUGUAAUCAAAUAGUUGUGUGUGUAAUCUUUUUUUUUUUUAAAUAUAAAUGAGAGUAUAUGAACAUACUGUUGUAUGCUUUGAAAAUUUCUUCAUAACCUGAAGCGUUCCACAUCAGUACAUAAAUGUCUGCCUCAUUUAAAAAAUAACAGCACAUAUUCCGUUUUAUGGAGGUUCUGUCAUUUAUUUAAGUGGUCAUUCGUCAAUAAACAUUUAGGUUGUUGACAAGUUGGAUUUUUCUCCCCCAUUUCAAAUAAUGGAUCAUGAAAUAACCCUUGUAUAUACUUUCUUAGGCACACAUGACCACUAAAGCCGUAGGGCAUGUUUCUAGAAUUGCUGAAUCAUUUUUUAUUUUGAAAGGCAUUGCUUCAUUUCCUUCCAAAGAAGUUGCCCCAAACUGACAGCGAAUGGAAUGUGUGUUUAUGUCUUUAAAGGACUGCUGGGCCUCCCCGUCAAUGACAUCUCAUAAGAACCCGGUAAGACUCCCAGAAGGAGAGAGGGCAGACGUCAUACUCACCUCCCUGUUAGAAAUGAGAAGUAACUGAGUCUCUAACAGGGUCUGAACUAGAUCCUAGGUUUCUAGGUUCUCAGUCCAGGGGCCUAGCUCUGAAAGUGGAGACGCUGGUUCCGGGGAAGUCAGCUCGCUGACACUACAGCUCAGCCCCCCAUGGCGGGCCCCGGAUCGGGAACAGACCCCAAGUUCCCGGAGGGAGUGUCAGGGUGACAGGGCUUCGAAAUCAACCCCCACGCGACGCGACAGCUCUGCGGGACGGGAGAGGUCGCCCAGGCCCUACUUGAACGCCAGCUGCGACGAGGAGCUCCCGUCCGUCGGGCAGUCGGUCCAUCCCGGGGCAGCUCCCGCCGUUCUAAAUUUCCCUCCGCCGAACUCGCCGCGGCCGCCCCUCGCGCCGCACGAGGGCAGCCCCUCGUUAGGACGAGUUUCCCAAGGGCCCUUCACCUCGCAUUCCAGGCGUCUCAGAGCCGCGGCUGCAGAGAGAAACUACCUUCCAGGCCUCCGCGGCCUGUCCUUCGGCGGCAGCAGCGCCCGCAAAAGCCCGGGGCGGGGAGGCCGGCAGGUCGGAUCCGACCGCGACGCUCGGGCGCCAUCUUGCGUCGGUGCCUCCGGCCUCCGGUAACAGCUCGGAAACCACACUUCCCGGCGUACCCAGCGCGUCGACGCAGGCGCAGAAGGCUUCCUCCCGUUUCCAUGGGAACCUCGCCCCCGGAGUCGGGGCAGUUAGACUCCGGGGCGCGCCGGAGCUGCUCGGCUUGAGGCGUGGAGCCCUGCAGGACUUCUGGGGGCCAUAAAAGUCCCUUUUCCUGGAGACAUGACCCAAAGUGAGCUGUUGUACCCAACCUUCUGGCAGCGCACACUCCCACCCCCGAACCUCUUCCUCUCCAUCUUGCCUCUCCAGUUCGCUCCCACUUCACUGGCUACAGGUAAGUGCCAUCUGGGUGUCCCAGAUUCCUUUUUAGCUAAGUGCUGUGCGAGGGCCUAAGAACUCCAGAGCUGACACUUGAGAGGAGAUUACAGCCGUUCACUGCCUACAUUGGGGGGAUUGCCAUCAUUUACAAUUGACAGAACACUUUCACUUGCAGGAGAUCUCAUUUUAUCUUUGCAACAGCUGGAAGCUCUUUUAUCACAACUUUACUUUUCUCGAUGUGGGGUCCGAGUUAUUAGGCUAUAGGCCAAAGAGCUGAAUGGUGGCAUUGAGACCAGUGACCUUUCCACUGCCUCAGUUAUCAUGGAAGGAGUACCAUCUGCCAACUAGUGAAGCCUCAUCCUCUGCUAACUUGAAGCUAGGCCCAGACUCUCCCUUUUUCCCAUUUCAGCCAGAAUUUCCUGCCUGUUUUCCAUCCCAGCCCACCUUCUCUCUGUCAUCAGACGUAUUUGACAGUCUCUUGCUCUCAUGCCCCCACUAGACUGACUGCUGAGACUGACUUGUUCUCAUGGCAGCAGGUUCCCUUCAGAGUACUAGUGCUCCUCCCCUUGACCCUGCCAGUCUGGCGGCUCCAGGCAGGCACCUGGAGAGCUGGGAUACUUAGGGGAUUCUGUCUCUAGGUGAGAGGACCAAGCAGAGGAAAGCUGAUGCACUGGUAGGGAGGGAAGUUGGCGAAACUUUGCCCAGUGGUAUUCCCUGCCCUAGGUAGUAAUGCCACACCCCACCCCACUGGCACCCCUGGCAGCAGCUCAGUGAGACUCAACGGUGAGGGUGGGGAGGUAGGUGUGGCAGGGAGAGGCAACAAGGAGCAAGCCCAGGCUAAAACUAGGCCCCAAGUGCUGGCCUAACUCAAGCCAGAGAUCAUUGUCGGGGUGGAGGAUAGGCCCAGAUGAAGGAGGAUGCUCCUGGAGGCUGGGGUGGGGAGAGGGAGCUGAUGGUACAUAUCCUACAUGAUUUGUCUUUACAUGGGCCUGAGAAGGCUCGGAGCUGGGCAGGUGUGCCCUGGUCUUCCCAGGCAGCACAGCACUGCCGCACAGCUCAGCGCUUGGUGGACUGGCUCUCCUCCUCUGAAGGUCCUCAGGGGACCUUCUCUACCCUCCACCCUCACUGAAGCUCAGCCAGAUGCUUCCGCCAGCCCUCUCCACAAUCCAGUUAUCUCAGUGUCCCAAAUGUCCCUCUGCUAGGCUGAACUCUGCCCCCUUAGAAUUCCCAUACUCUGCCAGCCUAAAGGUUUUAUUUUCUAUACAGAAAUGGGCACUGGGGAGGGGGAGGCUAAGUGCCAUGAGGAUAGAGUAAGUGGUUUGGGGUCAGUAGGAUGCCCUGUUGGUAAGCUGAGACCGCCCCAACCUUGGGUAGCGUGGUGUAUCCUGUGUGGUGGGUGGGACUGGCACAGAGCAUGGCCUCCGCUAUCUGAUCGCAGCAAGAUGUGCCCACAGUUGCAGGCUGAGAUCGAGGAGCAGUAGGCAUCUGUCUGCCCCAUGCCUGCCCCACCCCAGCGUCCUGCCGCAGCCCCACCCUCCACCUCAGCCCUGUUCUUUCAUGUCUUCCCUCUCCUCCUCCUGCUCUCCCUCUAAGGAGGGCCAGCAACAGCUGCUGACCAUAGGGGCAUAUCUCCGCCUGUCCCACCACACAUGAGCUUCUUAGGAGUGCCCAUCUGACCUGCAGCCAGCAAGACUGGUACUCCUGGGCAGAUAUCUCUAAUUCUUCUUCUUUUAUGAAGGAAGAAGGACUCAGAUAAGAGAGGGAGGUCAGGACAAGGAGGCUAGGAACUACAUGGAGGCUACGUGGGAAGGAAAUGGGUUGAAGGGAUGCUCCAGAGAAGAGCUGUAGAUAUCAGGCACCUGUGAUAGCUGUCCGGCCUGCUGGUCCCUGGAAUGGACGCAGGUCAGGUGAGGCUGUAGGAGGAGCUGUCCUUGAAAGGAGAGCUGCUUGUGGUUGGACCCCCGUUUGACAGCCUAAGGGACUGAAGGAGCCAUUUGACAGGAAGGCUAUGAUGAAAUGAAACUCAUUCUUUUUUCUCACAGUUCAUCUUUCUGAGUCCUGAGCCCCUCCUGCUGACUUUCCCAUUUCCUUUAAUGGUACCUCUAUCCUCCUACACCCAGGUGAAAGCCUUGGGGUGAUAACGCUCACUUUCCACAUUUAAUCAACGGUCAAAUUCUGAUGAUCUCUCACAAAACUGCCUUUCUCUCCCACUUCCUGCACCUAGCCAAGUUCCUGGUCUCCAUGCCUGGACUAUUGUAAUAGCCUCCUGCCUGGUUACCCUCACUGUCCAGGACAGCAUGACUAGAUUAAUCUGCCAGAAGGAUUACAUCACUUCACACAUGGGACUCCCGUGGUACGUGCCAUUGGUGGUGCUCCCCAUUGCCUGCCAAGUACAGGACAAACUCUGUUCUUGUGCUCAUGGCCUUUCCCCAUCUGGCAUCAGCCUACCUUUCUGGCUUUAUCUCCCAGAACAUCCUAAUAUAUACCUUUCACUCUAAUUAAUUAGGCUACUAACUGUUCCCCCAAAGCACCCCUUGUUUUUCCAUUUCUUUACCUUCGCUCAUGCUGUUCUCUCUACCUGGGAGGGUCCCUUUGCAUUCAUUCACUUAAAAAUAUUUAUUAAGUAUCUUUUGUUUACCAGGCACUUUGCUAUGUGCCAGGGAUAUAGAACUAAACAAACAAAAACCCUCACGGACCUUACUGAGAGGAAAUAGAUGGCGAUAAGUGGCGUGGAGAAAAAUCAGGAAGGGACGAUGGGAGUGUUGCCAAGGGAGUUUAGGCGGCCCCAGUUGUACAUAGUAAAACCCUAGCCAUUCUUCAGCACCCUGAUUAAGUACCGUGUCAUCCACUAAAUUGUUCCUAGUUGCUUCCUCUAGGGAAAAUACAUACCGUUUUCCUCUGGGGAAAAUACACAUUAAUAUUAAAAUUUAAUAAAGGACUAGUCUUUUUUUUUGAAACUUUAAUAUUAAUACGUAUUUUCCUUUUAUAGGCAAACAUUUAUACCAUGCAGUUGGUUUCUACCUCAUAUAAGACAAUGUAGAAAACUCAGCGUUACUGCAUUUAUCAGUAGUCUCUUAAUGAUUAAACUAGAUUGGUGGAAGUACUCUGAAGAUUUUCCACGUAGUCAUUCGUACUGAAGCCGUACUGUAAUGCCCUUAUGGGGUCUGUUAGGCUGUAAGCUCUUUUUCUCCCCAACUUUUUGUUUUGAAAAAUUGCAGACCUAUUGGAAAGUUGAAAGGAUAGUAUAAUGAACACCCAUGUACUCUACCUCUAGCUCCACCAGUUGUGAAUCUCUUGCCAUAUUUCUUUGUCUUGUAUUUUUUUUGAACCAAUUGAAAAUCAGAUGCACAUGUUAUAAUGCUUCACCCCUAAACAUUUCAGCACAUAUCUCCUGAAUGUAGGACAUUCUGCUACAUCAUCACAAUAUCCUUAUUAUAUGCAGAAGGUUUCACAACGAUGCAGUGGUAUUAUUGAGACUACGACCGUAAUUAACUUACCCCAAAUUUUCCAUUAUAGCUUUAAAAAAAAAAAAAUUGACCCAGGAUCCAGUCAGCAAUCACAGAUUGCAUUCGGUUGUCAUGUCUCUUUUUCUUUAAUCUAGAAUAGUCCUCCUGCGUUUUCUGUUUUUCAUGACAUCGGCAUUUUUCAUGACACUGAGUCUAAGCUAGUUGUCUUGCAGAAUAUCUCUCAGUUUGUUUCAGUGUUUCUUCACAAUUAGAUUCAGAUUAAACCUUUUUGCAUGAAUACUACAUAAAUGACAUUUCUUGCUGUUGCAUUACUUCCAUAGUCAUAUAAUGUUUUAUCCGAUUAUUGGUGAUAACUAAGUUUGAUUACUUGGUUAAGAUGGUAUCUGCUAGAUCUCUCCAUUGUCAAAGAACCCUUAAGUAAUCUGCUGGGUAGUGAGUUGAGAUCAUGUGAAUAUCCUAUUCCCCAACAACAUUGAUUUCAGCAUCAAUUGAUGAUCUUUGCCUAAAUUACUUCAUUGUGUUUUUUUUUUAAUUAUGUCAUUCUUUCUACAUGUAUUUGUACAUUUAGUAUAAUAAGCUAUUAUUCUUCAGUAAAGAGUUUUCCUCUCCCCCUUUUAGAUUCAUGUGUUCUUUUUUUAAUCCAAUGUGUUAUAAGCCAUUACUGUCAUUAUUCUUUCUCAUCCUUGAAUUUUCUCAUAUUUGGCCAGCAGGAGCGCCUUCAAGCUGGUCCCAAGUCUUUUUGUCAUGUUCCUAUUAGUCUUUGAGCAUUUCGUUGCUUUCUAGCACAACAUAGUUUUCCAAAUGCACCUGGAACCGGCCACUUGUCCAGUGAGCCCUAGUUUCUUCAAGUGGAGAAAGAUAUUUAGAAACUAAAAUCAGGGUUCUAGCUGUGCUCAUUGCUACUAGGGUUUUAUUGCUUCCAGGCCUUUUCAGUGGAAAAAAAUGGAUUAUUUUAUUUGUUUGUCUUUACUCAUUGAUUUCCAGGACUUCUGCUUCUAACUGUGUUGGAAUUGUCUCAUUGUAAACAACUAUGAAACUGGAUAAAAAAGAUAAGGCAGCUAUUAUUAGGCUUUGAACAAUAGGCAGGACUGUGCUUCCUUAGAGAAGGAGAACACUUCAGGUGAACCCCACAUUAACUCUGGCCCCUGACCUCCUACCUGGGGACAGUUUGCUGUCCACAGCACAGAAGUGGAGCCCAAGCAGAGCACAGCAGUUCUGCUGAGCUGAUAAAGCAGAGAUCAGAAUUGAGGGCUGCUGAAACAGCUGGAAAUUGUAGGGCAGGAAACUGGAGAGGAGGCAGCUGUACACAGUGGGUAUGCCUAGAAGUCUGUAUGUGGGUUCUCUGGUCCUAAGCUGAGCUCUGGGCUAUAGAUGUGCAAGGUGAGACUUUGCAAGACCUAGCAGAGAAUUGCUGCUAUGGGCUAGGGAGUAGAACAGACAUACUAAAAGUUAGACAGUGAGACUUUGAAUUCUGGCCUAACCAGAGUGAAAAUACUUCGUUAAGAUCCAGACAUAGUGCUGAGAUAUCAGAAAGGCCAUGCCUUAGGAGUAAUGAUCAUGCCCUGCAGGCCAAAUCUUACCCAUCAUAGGCCAAACAGUGCUGUUCCUGUUUGUUUACAUAUUGUCUAUGUCCGAUAUCAUACUACAGUAGCCGAGCUGAGUUGUGACAGAGACCAUAUGGCCUGCAAAGCUGAAAACAUUUACAAUCUAGCUCUUUACAAAGUCAGCUCUUUGACGACCUCUUCCUUAGAGUAAGGGCUACUCUACCCAUUGCCAUUGAGCUGAUUCCAACUCAGAGCACUCUAAAAAAAAAAAAAAAAUUUUUUUUUUUUUUUUUUUACCUGGCCUAAUAAAGUCUAAAACCAAGUCUCAGAAAGAUUAAGGAGAAUUGCCAGAAAUGAAUUGCCUGCUAGAGCAAAACUCAAUGUUCUUUAAAGGAAGACGUUAUCAUCCAGACAAUUCCAUCAAACCCCAUGUGCCUGUCAAUUUGUCGUACUGUGGGGGAUUGUGUAUUGCUGUGAUGCUGGAAGCUAUGCCACUAGUAUUCAAAUACCAGUAGGGUCACUCAUGGCAGACAGAUUUCAGCUGAGCUUCCAGACUAAUACAGACCAUGAAGAAGGACCUGGCGGUCUACUUCUGAAAAGAAUUUGCCAGUGAAAACCUUACAAACAGCAGCAGAACAUUUUCUGAUACAGUGCUGACAGAUGGGCCCCUCAGAUUGGAAGGCACUCAAAAUACGACUGGGGAAGAGCCUCCUCAAAGUAUAGCCUUUCUUAAUGAUAUGAAUGGAGUCAAGCUUUCAGAACCUUCAAUUGCUGACGUGGUACGAUUCGAAAUGAGAAGAAACAGCAGCAAACAUCCAUUAAUAAUCAUAACAUGGAAUGUAUGAAGUAUGAAUCUGGGAAAAUUGGAAAUCAUCAAAAAUGAAAUAGAACGCAUGAAGAUCGAUAUCCUAGGCAUUAGUGAACUGAAGUGGACUGGUAUUAGUCAUUUUGAAUUGGACAAUCAUAUGGUCUACUCUGCCAGGAACAAAAACUUGGAAGAGGAAUGGCGUUGAAUUCAUCGUCAAAAAGAACAUUUCAAGAUCAAUCCUGAAGUACAGUGCUGUCAGUGAUAGGAUAAUAUCCAUACGCCUACAAGGAAGACCAGUUAAUAUGACUGUUAUUCAAACUUACAUACCAACCACCACUAAGGCCAAAGAUGAAGAAAUUGAUGAUUUUUACCAACUUCUGCAUUUGAUCAAACUACAGGCUGAAAUUGAUCGAACAUGCAAUCAGUAUGCAUUGAUAAUUACUGGAGAUUGGAAUGCAAAAAUUGGAAACAAAGAAGAAGGAUCAGUAGUUGGAAAAUACGGCCUCGGUGAUAGAAAUGAUGCCAGAGAUCGCAUGAUUGAAUUUUGUGAGACCAACGACUUCAUUGCAAAUACCUUUUUUCACCAACAUAAAUGGCGACUACACUCAUGGACCUUGUCAGAUGGAAUAUACAGGAAUCAAAUUGACUGUAUCUGUGGAAAGAGACAAUGGAAAAGCUCCAUAUCAUCAGUAAGAACAAGGCCAGGGGCCAAACGCAGAACAGACCAUCAAUUGCUCAUAUACAAGUUCAAGUUGAAAAUGAAGAAAAUUAGAACAAGUCCAGGAGAGCCAAAGUACAACCUUGAGUACUUUGAGUACCAUCUCAAGAAUAGAUUUGAUGCGUUAAACACUAAUGACCAAAGACCAGACGAGUUGUGGAAUGACAUCAAGGACAUCAUAUAUGAAGAAAGCAAGAGAUCAUUAAAAAGACAAGAGAGAAACAAAAGACCAAAAUGGAUGUCAGAAGAGACUCUGAAACUUCCUCUUUGACGUCGAGCAGCGAAAACAAAAGGAAAAAAUGAUGAAGUAAAAGAGCUGAACAGAAGAUUUCAAAGGGUGACUUGAGAAGACAAAAUAAAAUAUUAUGAUGACAUAUGCAAAGACCUGGAUAUAGAAAACCAAAAGGGAAGAACAUGCUCAGCAUUUCUAAAGCUGAAAGAACUGAAGAAAAAAUUCAAGCCUCAAGUUGUAGUACUGAAGGAUUCUAUGGGGAAAAUAUUAAACAACGCAGGCAGCAUCAAAAGAAGAUGGAAGGAAUACACAGAGUCACUAUACCAAAAAAAAAUUGGUCAACAUUCAACCAUUUCAAGAGGUAACAUAUAAUCAGGAACCGAUAAUACUGAAGGAAGAAGACCAAGCUGCACUGAAGGCGCUGGCAAAAAACAAGGCUCUGGGAAUUGACGGAAUACCAAUUCAGAUGUUUCAGCAAAUGGAUGCAGUGCUGGAAGUGCUCACUCAUGUAUACCAAGAAAUUUGGAAGACGGCUACCUGGCAAAUUGGCUGGAAGAGAUCCAUAUUUAUGCCUGUUCCCAAGAAAAGUGAUCCAACCAAAUGCGGAAAUUAGCAAAGAAUAUCAUUUUUAUAUCAUUAAUAUCACAUGGAAACAAAAUUUUGCUGAAGAUCAUUCAAAAGCGGCUGCAGCAGUAUGUCAGUAGGGAACUGCCAGACAUUCAAGCGAAAUUUAGAAGAGGACAUGGAACCAGGGAUAUCAUUGCUGAUGUAAGAUGGAUCCUGGCUGAAAACAGAGAAUACCAGAAAGAUGUUUACCUGUGUUUUAUUGACUAUGCAAAGGCAUUCAACUGUGUGGAUCAUAACAAAUUAUGGAUAACAUUGCAGAGAAUGGGAAUUCCAGAACACUUAAUUGUGCUCAUGAGGAACCUGUAUGUGGAUCAAGAGGCAGCUUUUCAAACAGAACAAGGGGAUAACUCAUGGUUUAAAGUCAGGAAAGGUGUGCGUCAAGGUUGUAUCCUUUAACCACACCUGUUCAAUCUGUAUGCUGAGCAAAUAAUCCCAGGAGCUGGACUGUAUGAAGAAGAACGGGGCAUCAGGAUUGGAGGAAGACUCAUUAACAACUUGUGUUAUGCAGAUGACACAGCCUUGCUUGCUGAAAGUGAAGAGGACUUGAAGUACUUACUGAUGAAGAUCAAAGACCACAGCCUACAGUAUAGAUUACACUUCAACAUAAAGAAAACAAAAAUCCUCACAGCUGGACUAAUAAGCAACAUCAUGAUGAAUGGACAAAAGAUUGAGGUUGUCAAGGAUUUCAUUUUACAUGGAUUCACAAUCAACACCCAUGGAAGCAGCAGUCAAGAAAUCAAAAGACGCGUUGCAUUGGGCAGAUCAACUGCAAAAGACGUCUGCGAAGUGUUGAAAAGCAAAGAUGUCACCUUGAGGACUAAGGUGCACCUGACCAAGCCAUGGUAUUUUCAAUCACCUCAUAUCCAUGUGAAAGCUGGACAAUGAAUAGGGAAGACCAAAGAAGAAUUGAUGCCUUUGAAUUGUGGUGUUCGUGAAGAAUAUUGAAUAAACGAUGGACUCCCAAAAGAACAUACAAGUCUGUCUUGGAAAAAGUGCAGUCAGAAUGCUCCUUAGAAACAAGAAUGAUAAGACUAUGUCUCACAUACUUUGAACACAUUAUCAGAAGGGAUCAAUCCCUGGAGAAGGACAUCAUGCUUGGUAAAAUAGAGGGUCAGUGAGAAAGAGGAAGACCCUAAAUACACAGUGGCUGCAAUGACAGGCUCAAGCAUAGCAACAGUUGUGAGAAUGGCACAGGACUGGGCAGUGUUUUAUUCUGUUAUGCAUAGGGUUACUAUAAGUCGGAACUGACUCCACAGCCCCUAACAACAACAACAUGUCCAUCAAACAGUAAAAAAUUGCUAGACAUUCAAGGGAGCAGGAAAGACCCAAAAACCAAACCCGUUGCUGUUGAGUCAUUCCAACUCAUGGUGACCUCACAUGUUAUAGAGUAGAACUGAACUGUAUAGGGUUUUCUUGGUGGUAAUCUUUACAGAAGCAGAUCACUAGGCCUUUCUUCUGUGGCAUUGCUGAGUGGGUCUGAACUGCCAACCUUUCGGUUAGUAGUUGAAUGCAAACUGUGCGCCAACUGGCCCAUAAUCAAGGGGAAAAGAAGAGCAAAUUGAGAAAAUAAUAUAUAAUAUUAAAAAACAUUAAAUUACUCAAAGUCAGGAAAAGAGGAACAGGCCCAAAAGCCAUAUGGUAUAAAUCUGAUAAGCCUUAAGCCCAACCAUAUCAGUAAUUCCAUUAAAUAUAAAUGAAUUUAACACUGCAAUUGAAAGGCAGAGAUUGUCAAGAUAAAAAAUCAAGAUCCAGCUGUAUAAUAUCUAAAAGAGAUAUACUUCCAAUAUACAGACACAGAUAGAUAGAAAGUAAAAGGAUUAAAAAAAAGAUACAUUAUGCAAAUGAAAAGCACAAAAAACCUGGUAUGGCUAUAUUAAUAUCGGACAAAGUAAACUUCAAGACAAGGGGUAUUCAGAGAGGUAGAGACAUUUCAUAAUCAGAAAAGGGUCAAUCAAGCAGGAAGAUGCCAUCCUAAAUCUAUAUGCUACAAAAAAUAAUGUAAAAAAUGACAGUUAAAAGGAGAGACAGACAAAUGCACGAUCACAUUUAGAAAUUUGGAAACCUCUGUAUUGAUAAAUGAUAAAACAUUAAGACAAAAGAGCAGUAGGAGUAUAAAAAUUUUUAACUGUAUCAUCAACCACUUUGAUAUAUUUGACGUUAAAGAAACUUCACAUACUAACUGUAGAAUGCACACUCUUUUUCAAGCGUACUUGGAACAUUCACCAAGAUAGAUUAUACCCUGAACCAUAAAAUAAAUCUCAAUAGAUUUCAAAAGAUUUAUUGAGACUGCCUCAUUACAGUGGAAUUAAAUUAGGAGUAAAUAAUAAUGACAUACCUAGAAAAUCACCAAAUAUUUGCAAAUUAAACGAUAUGUUUCUAUAUAACUGAGUUAAAGAAGAAAGCACAAAUGGAGUUAGAAAAUAGAGUCAAGUCUGUAUAAGCCGCAAACCUGACAGAAGGAAAAUGCAAAUAUUUUCCACUAAUAGCGAUAGAAAAGUGCUAAGACUGCACGCUGUCAAAGGCGGAAAACUUGAAAGACCUGGAAAAACAAGGCAGUCCCGUUAAGUUCAGCUUUCAUAGUUUUCACUGUAUUUUUAACUGAGUGAUAACGAAAACACGGUCCAUCAAAAUUUGUGUGGUACUGGGAUGCAGACUUCAAAUUCUCGUAAAAAGACCAGACUUAAUGGUCUGACUUAGACUAGAAGGACCCCAGGGGUCAUGGUCCCCAGACCUUCUGUUAGCCCAAGACAGGAACCAUUCCCAAAGCCAACUCUUCAAACAGAGAUUGGGCUGAACUAUGAGAUAGAAAAUGAUACUAGUAAAGAGUGAGCUUCUUGAAUCAAGUAGACGCCUGACACUAUGUGGGCAGCUCCUAUCUGGAGGGGAGAUGAGAGGGCAGAGGGGGUCAGAAGCGGGCCGAAUGGACACAAAAAUGGAGAGUGGAGGGAAGGAGUGUGCUGUCUCAUUAGGGGGAGAGCAACUAGGAGUAUAUACCAAGUUGUAUAUAAAUUUUUGUAUGAGAGACUGACUUGAUUUGUAAACUUUCACUUAAAGCACAAUAAAAUUUUUUUAAAAAUUUGUGUGGUGCAGUCAAAGAAGUACUUAAAGGAAAGUGUGUAGCUUUAAAUGUGUAUAUCAGAAAAAAGAGAAAAGCUAAAAAUCAAUAUUCUAUGUUUCUGCCUUAAGAAACUAGAAGAAGUUUGGCAAUUCCUCAAAAAGUUGAAUGUAGAAUUACCAUAGGAUACAACAGUUCUGCUCCUAGGUACAUACCCAAGAGAAUACAAAACAUAUUUUUACAAAAACUUUUACAUAAAUGUUCACAGCAUCAUUAUUCAUAGUAGCCCUAAAGUGGCAACAACUCAAACGUCCACCAGCUGAUGAAUGGAUAAACAAAAUAUGGUUUAUCCAUUCAAUGGAAUAUUAUUCAGCCAUAAAAAAGAAUGAAGUAGUUACAUAUUAAACAUGGAUGAACCUCGAAAAUGUUAUGCUUAGUAAAAGAAGCUAAGCACAAAAGGCCACAUAUUGUUUGAUUCCACUUAUAUGAAAUGUUCAGAAGAGGCAAACCCAAAGAGACAGAAAGUGGAUUCGUAGUUGCCAGAGAGCGAGGGGAAGGGAAUUGGAACUGACUGCUGAUAGGUGCAGGGUUUCUUUCUAGGAUGAUGGAAAUAUUCUGGAAUUAAAUAGUGGUGAUGAUGGCACAACAUGGUCAAUAUACUAAAAAAAAAAAAUCACUGAAUUGUGUACUGUAGAAUGAUGAAUUUUAUGUUAUGUGCAUAGUAUCUCAAUGAAAGAAUAAAAAUAAGCUAGAAAAAGAACAAGUUAAACCCAAAGGACGGAAAUAAGGAAGAGCAGAAAUUAAUGAAACAAAAAACAGACCAAAAAAUAGGAAAAAUCAGCAAAGCCAGAAGUUGAUUCUUGGAAAAAAUUAAUAAAAUUUAUAAAACACUAGCCAAACUGAUUCAGAAGAAGAAAAUACAAUUUACCAAAUAUCAGGAAUGAGAGAGUAGAUACCACUGUAGAUAGUUAGCCACUAAAAAGUUAAUGACCAGGAGGUGGAGGCAAGAUGGCGGAAUAGACAGACGCUUCCUUCGAGCCCUCUUUACAACAAAGACCCAAAAAAACAAGUGAAACAAAUGUAUUUGUGACAAGCUGGGAGCCCUGAGCAUCAAAGGCAAGCUUAGAAAAUGAACUGAGGGGCAGGGGAAGGAAGAGACUGUUCAGAAGCGGAGAGGAGUUACUGGACCUGAAUCACGGGGAGCCCUCAGGCACCAUUUCCGGAGCGGUGGCCGCGGGCUGGUACUAGCGUUCUGCCGCAGUUUCCUCAGGGAGAAGCAGCAAGCCACACAGCCUGCUCACACCUCCGGAACCUGAGAAGAAUGGCGCUCUUGAUAAAAGCUAAGGACUUGCGUGUAUUUUACUGCCCCCCCACCCCCACCCCCGAGCCGGCUUCAGCAGCUGAAUUCCCUGGGCCUGAGAUAGGCACUGUUAAGCACCUAGAGCCAUCCUCCCAGCCUUGGGAAGGAAAAAAUUUGCAAUUGAGGGAAAAGGUAAUUUGCCAGCUCCACUAACUGGGGGAGCUCAGGACAGAAGCAGCUCCUGUCCAGGUAUAAACGGUCUGUGGAUUUUGAGCACCUUUUCCCUCUGCAUGGACCUAUGUGGGCCUAUUUCAGGAGAAUAGGCCCUUGUUGGCAGACUCCAUCUCAGCUGUGCAGUGAAGAGGUGGGUGUCUGACAUUGCUUUGCCUAUUAAACAAGGUCCUCACCUACCCACAUCAGGGGCCCAAGGGCUGAUAGCUUCACUCAGGUCACCCAGCCACCCCUGACAGGGGUCCAAGGAUAACUGGUACCUCCCAGUCCUUACAACCAAAAACACUGGGUGUUCAUGGUCCAUCUGCAGAUCCCACCCACCUGCACGCUCUAGGGAACAGGGACGCACUUUCCUCAGAGACACUCGCGGGUUGGUUCUCAGCCCCCUGCCUUGUUCAGAGCCUGACCCCCUGCUGCAAUCAGAUACUGCUAUAUACGCCAAUCACCCCUGCCCCUCUAAGACUGUAGGACAGAGCCUGUACCACAUACUUGAUGAUCAGCUACCUGGACACCUGAGCUGAAUUCAUACAAGAAAAGUGAAUGGACUCCUAGACUGUUAAAACUGAUAACAGCUCUAGCCAGCUGGGGACAGGAUGUCAGAGUUCCAAAGGUGAAAAUAAUCAAGCUAGCUCACUCAAGCAACCCAUUUGGGCAUAUCAAAACAAAACAAAGCAAGAAGCUAUGACACAGUAAGCAAGCGUAAACUAAUACAGUGACUUAUAGAUGGCUCGGAGAUAGCAGUCAAUAUCAAGUCACAUAAAGAAACAGACCGUGAUUGCCUCAACAAGCUCUCAAAACAAAGAAUCCAGGGAUCUUCUAGAUGAAAGUUCAUUCCUGGAAUUACCAGAGGCAGCAUACAAAAGAUUAAUACACAGAACCCUUCAAGACAUCAGGAAGGAAAUGAGGCAAUAUUCAGAACAAGCCAAGGAACACACAGAUAAAGCAAUUGAAGAAAUUAGAAAGAUUAUUCAGGAACAUAAAGAAAAGUUUAAUAAGCUGGAAAAAUCCAUAGACAGCAAUCAGAAACUCAGAUUAACAAUAAAAUUACAGAAGUAGACAACUCAAUAGAAGGUCAGAGGAGCAGAAUUGAGCAAGUAGAAGCCAGAAUUUCUGAACUUGAAGAUAAAUCACCUGGCACUAAUAUAUUUGAAGAAAAGUCAGAUAAAAGAAUUAACAAAACAAAACAAAACAAAAAAAUGAAGAAACCUUAAGAAUCAUGUGGGACUCUCAAAAGAAAUAACCUAUGAGUGAUUGAAGUACCAGAACAGGGAGGGGUAACAGAAAAUACAGAGAGAAUUGUUAAAGAUUUGUUGGCAGAAAACUUCCCUGAUAUCAUGAAAGAUGAGAAGAUAUCUAUUCAAGAUGCUCAUCGAACUCCACAUAAGGUAGAUGUUAAAGUAACCAAGACAUAUUAUAGUCAAACUUGCCUAAACCAAAGAUAGAGAAUUUUAAGAGCAGCUAGGGAUAAACGAAAAGUCAUCUACAAAGGAGAGCCAAUAAGAAUAAGCUCAGACUACUCAGCAGAAACCAUGCAGGCAAGAAGGCAAUGGGAUGACAUAUUUAAAAAAUUGAACGAAAAAAAUUGCCAGCCAAGAAUCAUAUAUCCAGCAAAACUGUCUCUUAAAUAUGAAGGUGAAAUUAGGACAUUUUCAGAUAAACAGAAGUUUAGGGAAUUCGUAAAAACCAAACAAAAACUACAAGGAAUACUAAAGGAAGCUCUUUGGUUAGAAAAUCAAUAAUAUCAGGUAUCAACCCAAGACUAGAACACUGGGCAGAGCAAUCAGAAGUCAACCCACACAGAGGAAUCAAAAAAACAAAGCAAGAUUAAAAAAGAGUUAAUGACCAAAAAAACCAAACCCGUUGCCUUCGAGUCGAAUCUGACUAAUAGCAACCCUGUAGGACAGAGUAGAACUGCCUCAUAGAGUUUCCAAGGAGCGCCUGGCGGAUUCGAACUGCCGACCUUUUGGUUAGCAGCCGUAGCACUUCACCACUACUCCACCAGGGUUUCCAAAAAGUUAAUAAAAGAAUAUCAUUAACAACUUUGUGCCAAUAAAUUUGACAACUUAGAUGAAUAGACAAAUUUUUGAAAAACAGUUUGCCAGUACUGACACAAAAAGAUAUAAAAAUCUAAAUAUCUCUUAAACUAUUAAAUAAAUUGGAUUUCUAUUUUAAAAAACUCCUCCCACAAAGAAAAUUCCAGGCCCAGAUAAUGUCACUAGUUACUUAUAUAUUUAAGGAAUAAAAUACUAAACUUACACAAACUCCUUUGGAAAAUAGAGGGGGAGGAAACACUUCCCAACUCAAUGUAUGACGCUAGCAAACCCUGAUUAUCAAAACCUAAAAUAUAGACAUUUCAAGAAAAACUUAUAGACCAGCAUCUCUUAUGAACAUAGGUGUAAAAUCUUCAACAAAAUAUUAGCAAAUAAAAUACAAUAAUAGAAUAAAAGUUUAUGACCAAGUGUUGUUUCCCCCAGGAAUGCAAAGUUUGUUCAUUUUUCAGAAAUCAGUGAAUGAAUUGAUAUAUUACAUUAACAGAAUAAAGGAGACAAUUCAUUUUAUUAUCUCAUAGAUGAAGGAAAACCAUUUAAUGAUAAGCCACAUCCAGUCAUAACAAAAACUCAGCAAACCAGGAAUAGAAGGAGCUUCCUUAAUUUGCUAAAGGGCAUCUAUGAAAAACAGCUAACAUCAUAUUAAAUCAUGAUAUGUUGAAUGAAAGGAUAGCCACUGUCAGCACUUCUGUUCAACAUUGUACUGGGUUGUUGAGGUAAGAAAAAGAUAUAAAAGGAAUACAGAUUGGAAAGGAAGAAGUAAAAUAAUUUACAGAUGACAUGAUUGUUUACACAGAAAACCCCAGAGAAUCUAUUAAGAAAACUAUUAGAAUAAAUGUCAUAAGAUACAAGGUCAACAUAAUAAAAACUAAUUGUUUCUAUAUUCUAGGAGCGAAUAAUGGGAGGAUGAAUUUUUAAAAAUCCAUUUACAGUAGUACAAAAAUUAAAUUCUUAGGAAUAAAUUUAACCAAAGACAGGUAAGAUCUCUACCCUUAAAACUACAAAACGUUGCUGAGGAAAUUAAAGAAGCCAAAGAAGGCUAAAUACAUGUAGAAGUAUACCAUGUUCAUGGUUUGGAAGAAUCAAUGUUGUUAAGAUGGGAGUUAUCCCCAAAUUGAUCUAUAGAUUCUAUGUAAUUUCAAUGAAAAUGCAAGGAGGAUUUUUGUUGUUGUUGAAGUUAACAAGCAGAUUCUAAAAUUUAUAGGAAAUAAAAAGAAUCUAGAAGAGCAAAAACAAUUUUUAAAAAGACAAAAAGUUGGAGGACUAAUGCUACCUGAUUUAAAGAUGUAUCACGAAGCUACACUAACCCAGGCAGUAUGACAUUGUGAUAAGGAUGGACAAUCACCAGUGGAACACAACAGAGUUUAGCAGUAGACCUAUACGUAUUUGGUCAGUUGGAGUUGUACCAGUUUACACUCCAGCAAUAUAGGAUUUUUAUAGUAGGAUUCUGACCAGCCAUCCUGAGAACAUGUAGAAAAGUGGGCCAGAUGAUUGCUGAACUCUUGAUAUGAUGAUCUGUUCUGCUUUGGAGAAGGCCUCAGCUGGGCGCUCAGGGGGCUAGUCCAACAGAGACACAGGCUUCAGAACAGGAAAUGAAAAGGACCUGCAUCUGAAGUGGACAGCUUUGAUGCCUUGCCGAGAGGCUCUAGGAAAAGACAGCUCUACCACCCAGGCCACACCCCUAAGAGAAGUGACAGAGAGAGCCCAAAGUUCACUGGAGUUUAGGACUGGCCUUCACACCAGGUACAUAAGUGAUGUCCAUAGGCUGGACAGGACCAAAGACCCAAAACAGAGGUGCAAAUGAAGUGGGAAGGUUGUCAGCUUUGCAUGCUUACUGUGUAGCCUGCUCUGUGCUAGGUAGACAUUGACAAGAUGAAAAUACUUGUCAAGGAGACAGUGAAGCUUCUUGUUGUAGCAAUGUGACCCGAUAUAAUAAACUGUAAACAAGCUAUCAUGGGGAACAGAAGAGGAACCCUUAACUCCCCUUAGGGAAGGUGCUGCAGAGAGACUCCACAUCGUGCAAUCACGGGGAGGACUUCCAGGACUAGGAACCAUGGGAACCUCGAGGUGAGAUGGUCAGUACGAGAAGGCUCGCACCCCAAACGAGAGUUUCUAGGAAAUGCCUUUUCCGUCAAGAGACAAAGGGCCAGAGUAGGGCUCAAGAAGGAUCCAUGACCCACGCCUCCCCAACACCUAAUCCGCAGUCACUUGUCUACCUUGGGAACCCCGUGCCGUCGAGUCGACCCUAUAGGAAGACCCCUAAAAAUAAAACCUGGUUCCCAUCAAGUCAGUUCCCACUCACACUGACCCCAUGUGUGAAAAGCCCUACUUUAAACACUCAGUUAAAGAAUCAUCUUCUGGAAGCCGCUGAGUCCCCGUGGUGUCAUUGUGUCAAGCUCACGCCCGUCUCAUGGUGUUGGGAAUUUAUUUCCACGUCUUCCCUCUCUCUCUCCCACUACAGCCGACCGACCAGUCGGGGUUAGAGACUGGGCUUCAAGUCGUUGGCACCUGCAAUGACUAGCACAAGUUGUUUUCUAGUUUAGGACUCAGGUGGAUGAACCAGAGACCUGCCUGCAAAGAAAACCAGGAAUCAUUUUGAGGAUCCUAUACGUCCUUGAGGUGGUGUUACCCCACGUCUGCCUCAAGCUGGCACUGUUGUAGCUUUGUUCGGCUUCUAGACCAAUUCAGAAACUUAUUCUUUUCCCACGUUUACUUUAGUUUCUUGGUAAAUUAGCUUCGUAAACCUUCAAGCUACUAGUGAGUUUGUCUGAGGCUGGAUAAAUGUUGCCACACCUGAGUCAAUAAAGCAUGAAUCAGUGUGGCCCUCACUGAUGGGUGUGGCACUGGUAGUUACUAUGACAGCCGGGGAGCCCAGGGAGAACUGAACAGCUGGAAGAGGGGGAAGUAGAAAACCCAGGGACAGAAUCAGGGUGAGCCAUCCUCUGCCUGUGAGGCCCUUGACUUUCCUCCUCGUUUCUCCUUGCAAUCUCGGCAGCACCACAUCACCACGCGGAGGCCUCCCCCCGCCGUCCAUUUGGCACUGCUCAACCUUAAGUCUCCUGCCCUCUGACAGCCCUGAGCUCUCUUGCUGGACCUUCUUCCACCUUCUUUUUUUAAUCUUUUUUCUCUCAAUAUGAAAAGUCCAUUUAUCGUAAGUUUUUUAGUGUACGUAUUAUUAACCUUUUCAUUUUCUUCUUCUUUUUUUUACUGUGGUAAAUGUAUAUGUAACAAAACAUUUGCCUUUUCAACAUUCUUCACACGUACAGUCCAGUGACAUUGAUUGUGUUUGGAAACCACUAUCUGUUUCCAAAUUUUGAACAGAAGCUCAGCGUCCCCAAGCAACAAGUCCCCCUUUUCCAUUCCACCCACCUUUGGUAACCAACAGUAGACUUUGGUCUCUAUGUACUUGCCAGUUCUAGAUAUUUCACAUAAGUGGGAUCAUACAGUAUUUGUCCUUUUGCGUCUACCUUUCACCUUCUUCUAGAGAGAAUUUUCCAAAGUGCCAUCAUUGGUCCUCUCUGUGCACCCUCUGCCUGUCUCUUACUCUCCAAGAACUCAUCCAUGAUCGUAGAUUCAAGAGUCAGUUCUAUGCCAGUGAUUCCCUCAGCCCCGGGUACCACACUCCCCUUGACCUCUCUGCUGGACUUGAGCUCUAUGUCUCAUUGCCUACUAGGUGUUUCCACUUGGGUGUCCUGCCAUCACCUCACACUAAACAUAUAGAAAACUGAACUGUCUUUCCCCUCCCAAUUUCCAUUUUUCUCCCCAUGGCAUCAUUCUCUCACCCACCCAAGUUCAAACCUUGAGUCAUAUAUGGCGCCUCCUCCCCAUUCGUCCUUCCCAAGCGUAAGUCUUGCGAACUUCCUUUAUAAUGUCUCUUACAGCUCUGUUGUUUCCAUUCUGUUUGCUAAGCCAGGGUCUCAACACCCAUGCCGUGAAUGUGAAAUAGCUUUCCUUCUAGUCUUUCUUUCAUACCUGGCCAGACUGAUUUUCCAGAAUCAUUAUUUUAAUCCUGUCUCUCCUGUUCAAAAACCUUCAGGAGCUCUGCAUCACCACAGAUAAAGUCCAUAUUCCCUGGCUUAGGCCCAAGACCCUUUGAUGCCUGCGUGCCUCACUGACAUUGUUUCAUGUGAUUAAGAGUGUAGGCUCUGGAGCCAGACUCUCUGGGACCAAAUCCUAUCCCCGAGACCCUGGCUUAGCAGAUAGAAUGGAAAGGAUAGAGCAGCAAGAGAUGUUACGAAGGAAGCUGACAAGACUUGUGCUUGGAAAGGAUGAAUGGGGAGAAGACGUCAUAUAUGACUCAGGUUUUGAGUUUGGGUGGGUGAGAGAAUGAUGAUGCCAUGGGGAGAAAGAUGCUGUGUGACUCUGGGCACGUAUUUAACCUCUAUGUGCUUGAGUGUCCUCUUCUUAAAAAUGGGGACAAUAAUCAUUUCUAGGGUAGCUGACUCGACGGCACUGGGGUGGGGUAAAGUAGCCAUGAGGUCAAAAGGCACUUAGAACAGUGCUGGAUACAUAGUAAGCACUCAGAUGUUAGCUUUUUAUGAUGUACAGUGAUUUUCAGAGAGGGAGUGCUCUGCCCACUGCCCACCUCUCUGCACACUGUCCCUCCAUCUCUCCACACACCUGUCCCCCAGCUCUCUGCUCACCUGUCCCCCCACCUCUCUGCGCACUUGCCCCCUGGGUGCAUUCGUUGUUCCCCUCCUCCUUGCCUUUGCUGAGCCCAUUCCCUUGGUCUAGAAUGCUGACUCUUAGUCAUCCUUCACGGGACAGUUACCUCCCAUUUUCUUCUGAGAGAAGCCAGCCGCAGGCCAUACAUGGAAGGCUAAUUUUAUUUGUUACUAAGUAAUUUUCCCUAUUUUUAUGUUAAAACAACUACUCCAGACAGCUCAUGGAGUAGAGUACAGAACGGACGAAAGAUUUUUAGAAUAAAAUGCAAAAACUACUAAAAAUUUUCAGAGUGGUGGCAUCUUGGGCCACCCCCACCCCAGUGGGGUCUGCAGGGAAAGGCCUGAGAAGCCCAGUCAUCGUCAGCACCAGGACCAAGCAUGUGUGAGGGUGGCCAGGGAUGGUGCCAGUCCUGGACUCAGCCCCCUGCAUCUGCUGGGAGGGUCCCUUUAGCCCAUGGCACCCUCUCCUUCCCAAGGACUCAGAGGGCUCUGUGUCUACCCCACUCGUCAGUUGCCUCUUGUAGGUUCCAAGUCCAGUUGCUGUCGAGUUGACUUCAGUACAUGGCAACCCCUUGCAUGUCAGCGUAGACCUGUGCUCCAUAGGGUUUUCGGUGGCUGGCUUUUUUAAUUAGAUCGCCAGAUGGUUCUUCAGAGGCGCCUCUGGGUGAACUCAAACUGCCAACCGUUCAUUCAGCAGCCAAGCAUGUUGACCACUUGCACCACCCAGGAGCUCCUCUUGCAGGUAGCAAUUGUAUUACCUUGUCUUUUAAUUUCCCACGUAAGUAGGGCUUAUCGCUUCAAUAAAAUUAUAAGCACCUGGAGCACAGAAUGGGCGGGGCUAUAAUACAGUGGAAGAUAGACUUGGGGUUGAAUUCAGGCCCUGGUGUUUACUCAUUGAGCAAGUCACUUUACCUCUCAGCCUUGGUCCUUAUCUCUAAACUGUGGAUAAUACUUCCCUAAUGAGAUGGUUUUAAGGAUUCAACUAGAUAUCGUAUGUGCCACAUUCAGCCCAGCAGAUGGCAUUGGCAAGCACUUAGUAGACAUGAGAUCUCUCCCCAGCAGCCCCAGGCACUCAGUAAACAUGUACCUCAGGAUGUCCCACCUCCAGGUACCUCCUAGACCUGGCAUCUGCACCCACAUGCUCUGCCUUCCUUCCUGUUCCAGGGGGUGUGGGGGACACCCUCUUCCCUGUGGGCUAGUCCCUGGCCCUUCUUACCUUCCCAAGGCCCCACUCAUGCAGUUGCCUCCACACUAUCCCGCACAGUCCGUCUUCCUCCCUUCAGCGUGUAAUUAUGCUGUAAUAUCGCUCUACUUGAACAACAAGCCCUCCCUUGAUCCCACCUUCCUUCUAGUUACCACUCUAUUUCUCUGCUCCCUUUACAGUGAAAAAAGUCCCUGAGAGAAUUAGCAUAUGCACUGCGCCCACUUGUACUGCUCUUCCCUCUUGAGCCCUCUCCACUCAGGCUUUGAUCCCUGUCACUCCGCUGAAAUGUCUCCAAUGGGCUCCCCAUUGCCAAGUCCAGCGUGCCGUCCUCAGGCUACAUAUCGCUGAGCCUCUCAGCAGCACCUGAGACCAUUGAUGAGUCCUGCCUCCUUAAAGCACCUUCUGCCCAGACCCCCCUGACCCGCACUGUCCUGGAUUUCCUCCAGUCCUACCACCGGCUAGUCCUCCGUUUCCUGUGCUGGACAACCCUGCUCCUCCUUCUCCCUCACCUCUGAGAGUCGAGGGCCCAGGGCUGUCCUCCCACUGCUUCUCAUUUCCAUCUACAUUAGAGCACAGGUGAUCUCCUCCACUGUCGUGGCUUUAAAUGCUGUCUAAAAAAUGCCCACAUUUAUGUCUCAAAUCCAGACCUUCCCCAGCAUUCCAGACUCAUCGGUCCAGCUCCUGCCCUUCCCACCACUUUCUCAUCUUAGUAUUGGGUACUAUCUCUCCUUCCAAUUGCUCAAGCCAAAACCCCGGGAGUGUCCUUGUCUCCUCUCUUUUUUAAACCUCAGAGCUGAACAGAUUGGCGAAUCCUGUCAGUCAAUUCCACCUUCAGAACAGGAAAUGAGGCCACUUCUUACCACCUCCACCUGCCACGGUUCAGACCACUAUCACCUCCCACGUGGCAAACCCAGUGCUUCCUGAGUGGGUUCACUGCCUCCUUCUUCCUCCACCCCUGCAAUCUAUUCUCCACCCACAGGCAGAGUCAUGUUUUCAGAGUUUGAUUAUGUUAUUCUUUGGCUUAAAACCCUCCAACGUCUUCUCCUUUCCCUCAGAAUAAAAUCCAAAUUUCUUGCUGUGACCAGCCCUGUUACCUCUGGCCACGUUUCCCACUGCGCUCUCCUUGCUCACUCUGCCUAGCCACACUGGCCUCUGCUUUGUUCCAUGAGCAGGACGAAAGCACUCCUGCCCUGGGCUUUUUGUAUUUGCUCUUCCUUCUGCCUGGAGGGCUCAGGUAGGUGUAGCCUCACUCCCUUACUUCCUCCAGGUCUGCUCAAAUGCCACCUUACCAGAGAGGCCAUCUCAACCACUCUGAAAUGGCACCCUGGCACCCUCUGUCCCUAGCCCUUAUUUUUCCUACCACUAACUGCCACUGGCCUGAUAUUUACAUGUUUGUUUUUGUUCACUUCCUCAUCACUAAUAAUAACACAGAGGACCUUUGGUGCCUGGCACAUAGGAGGUAUUCAGUAGAUGGGCCGAGGACAUGGUAUGUAGCCUGGAAGAGCCUGAGUGAAGACCCUAGUCUCUGCCCUGCCACUUCGCUGCUAUGUGAUAUUGGACUUUACUUAACCUUUCUGAUCUCCAGUUCCCCUCUCUGUAAAAUCUACUGUGAAGGUUUUUUAGGAGGAUUAGAGGUAAUACGUUUUAAGUACCAGAGACAUAGUCAACACUCAGUGAAAUGGAGGCUACAGAGGCCACAUAGCUUCUCUGUAGGCCUGUUUCCAAGGAGUUAAUAAUCUCAUCUCUCUCUGCCCCAGGAUGGAGGGCAGAUGUGUCAAACGAAGGAAGCACUAUAUAAGGGAUAUUGAUUCAUUCUCCUUGUCAGACCCUGUCCUAGGGCCCCCUAAUCAU